rnacentral:rRNA from 1 species
UACGUAGGGUGCAAGCGUUGUCCGGAAUUAUUGGGCGUAAAGAGCUCGUAGGCGGUCUGUUACGUCCGCUGUGAAAACCCAGGGCUUAACCCUGGGCUUGCAGUGGAUACGGGUAGACUAGAGGCAGGUAGGGGAGAAUGGAAUUCCCGGUGUAGCGGUGAAAUGCGCAGAUAUCGGGAGGAACACCUGUGGCGAAAGCGGCGCACUGGACCACAUCUGACGCUGAGGCGCGAAAGCUAGGGGAGCAAACAGG